ACGCCGCUUCUCUUCAAACAUUGUCUUCACACUGGGAAAAAACAUGUCAACCACAGCGGUUAAACCCUCCGCCCUAAAAGAUUCGGAACCCAUCACUGGGAUCCGAGAAAAGAUUCGAAGAAGAAGAGUAAGAAGUUGAAAGAAACGACCACUAUAGCGAGAGUAACGGCGAUGAACAACAACCUCCAUCAGCUUCUUCUUAAUGCAGUUUGACUCCGCCAUUGGUGUCAAGGUCUCUGCUUUAGAGCUUGAUCCCAUUAAAGAUAAAUGUAUAGUAUAGUUGCUUUAUCUCAAAACUUGGAUCCAAAUGUAAGCAACUUGGGAUAGCAUAUAAAGAUGUGUUUUGGGUCUCCAUGGAGAGAGAGAGACUCUUUGUGAGGGAAGGUUGAUCCUGGAAACCCAUAUGUUCUCGUUGCUAGCUCCUCUGCUUUGAGAUCUUUGGAACUUCUGAGGUACCGUUGUGAGUUUGUGUUCUGGUUUUUGUUGUUGUUUGACUGAAACUGAGAUCUCUUGUGUAUGAAUGUUUACUGCUUUGUGUGAACUUUUGGGAUAUGAUGACAACAAUACGUAAUCUCUAAGGCUAAUGCUCUGCAGAUUAAAAUGUAUUUGCACGUCAGUCUGAUGAUCCCGUUGUAGAUAACAUUAGUAGUUAAUGCACAUUCAUGUUGUUCAUCCCUUCGUUUAUUUCAUGAUAAUAAGAGUAUGGGAAGUGAUGAUAAGAUAUAUCAAUAUGUCAUAGGCAUAUAUGCAUAUGCAAUGCUGAACAACAUAUUUGCACGUCAGUCUGAUCCCAUUAUGUACCCAUCUUUUUUGUUAUAUGCUUGUAGCACAAAGCUUAAUGCAUAUAUAUUCAGGUUAUUUAUUCCUCUUUUUUCAUAAUAAGAGUUUGGGAAAUGAUGAUAAGAUAUCAAUAUGUCAUAGGCAUAUGCAAUGCUGAACUUAAUAUUUGCACGUCAGUCUGACCCCAGCUCUUGUUUCUUUAUUUUACUUCUUUUGCAUUAGUUCUGAAAAACUAACAUCAUAGUAUUGCUUUCAAGUCAAAUUCUUCUUGUUGUAGAUCUCCCAGUCUCAAUUUUUAUGUUAAGUUGAAUUCAUUAUUGGCGUAGCUAUCUCUGGUUUAAAAAACGGGUUAAUAUUGGCAGCAGCACACCAAGUAGAAUCAAAAAGCUAAUCGACAUUGCUAUGCAUUAGGGCUUUCACGUUUAGCUAUGAUUGGGCUAGAAAUUUCCACAGAUGUCAGGGGAUUUUCAUUAUUCACAUUGCCCCCUCAAGUCAGAGAUGAGUUUUGGGAUUUGUAUAAGAACUGCUUCCACCAGAGAGUCUACGUAUCGUCCAAAGCCACCACCAGCUCCAAAGGUUAAGAACAAUAAGAAACAUAGACGAAACCAGCAUUGAACUAACUUUGUGAGAGAAAUUCACUGUUGUGUUAAUUAGUGUUCUUUUGGCCUAAAGUAGUGCCACUUAGAUUCACUCAGAAAAAGGAUCCUCUCUAAGUCAAAUGAAUAGAAGGAUUAUGUGUUAAAUGUUCGCUCGGAUUGUGGGUUUCUCCAAUAGAUGGUGGGAGGGAGAAAGAUCCCAAUCAUCCCAUAAACGAAGAAUAUAGUGUUGUUAAGUGUGUUCUUUUGGCGCAAUGCACCAAUUAUUCACUGAAAAAGAGGAUCCUCACAAAGUCAAC